rnacentral:tRNA from 1 species
GUCCUGUGGGCUCAGUUGGUAGAGCAUGGCGUUUACAAUGCCAGGGUUGUGGGUUCCAUUCCAAUGGGGGACC